AUUGAACGCUGGCGGCAUGCCUUACACAUGCAAGUCGAACGGCAGCACGGGUGCUUGCACCUGGUGGCGAGUGGCGAACUGGUGAGUAAUACAUCGGAACAUGUCCUGUAGUGGGGGAUAGCCCGGCGAAAGCCGGAUUAAUACCGCAUACGAUCUACGGAUGAAAGCGGGGGACCUUCGGGCCUCGCGCUAUCGGGUUGGCCGAUGGCUGAUUAGCUAGUUGGUGGGGUAAAGGCCUACCAAGGCGACGAUCAGUAGCUGGUCUGAGAGGACGACCAGCCACACUGGGACUGAGACACGGCCCAGACUCCUACGGGAGGCAGCAGUGGGGAAUUUUGGACAAUGGGCGAAAGCCUGAUCCAGCAAUGCCGCGUGUGUGAAGAAGGCCUUCGGGUUGUAAAGCACUUUUGUCCGGAAAGAAAUCCUUGGCCCUAAUACGGUCGGGGGAUAACGGUACCGGAAGAAUAAGCACCGGCUAACUACGUG
rnacentral:rRNA from 1 species